AACGAACGCUGGCGGCAGGCCUAACACAUGCAAGUCGAGCGAGGACUUCGGUUCUAGCGGCGGACGGGUGAGUAACGCGUGGGAAUGUGCCCUUCUCUACGGAAUAGCCCUGGGAAACUGGGAGUAAUACCGUAUACGCCCUUUUGGGGAAAGAUUUAUCGGAGAAGGAUCAGCCCGCGUUGGAUUAGGUAGUUGGUGGGGUAAUGGCCUACCAAGCCGACGAUCCAUAGCUGGUUUGAGAGGAUGAUCAGCCACACUGGGACUGAGACACGGCCCAGACUCCUACGGGGGGCAGCAGUGGGGAAUCUUAGACAAUGGGGGCAACCCUGAUCUAGCCAUGCCGCGUGAGUGAUGAAGGCCUUAGGGUUGUAAAGCUCUUUCAGCUGGGAAGAUAAUGACGGUACCAGCAGAAGAAGCCCCGGCUAACUCCGUG
rnacentral:rRNA from 1 species